AUUUUUAACUCUAAAUCUUGGUUUCUGGCUUCCUGUGGCAUUGCCUGAGGGCAGAUUAAACCUGGAAGUUAGGGGAGAAGACCUGACCUCUGGAGAGCUGGCCCAAAAGGGAAUGGGCUGACUCCAAGCUGCCUCAACAUGGUAGUUUUGCCAAAUUUGGUAUCCUAGAGCAGAGGCUGAACAAUCUCUUUGGGUGAAACAGGGGUUGCAGAUCGAGUUUCCCAGACAGCUUCAGGAUGGAUUAAAAGAAACGGCCCCUAGGGGCCCUGACCAGAGAAUCUCUGACUUGGGGACAGACACACAAACUCAGACCAAGGCAGUGAGGGAGACCCAUUCCUGGACUUGCUUCCAAGUGGGCACAGAGUGA
rnacentral:lncRNA from 1 species